rnacentral:lncRNA from 1 species
GUUGACACUCUGGGUGGCAUAAGCUUCAUCACCUCCUGGACUUCUGUGAUCUUGAAUUAAGUCAUGUCCUUUGUAACGCUGAGUUUCCUCUUGUGUAAAAUGGGAGGAAGCUUUCCUUGAUGGGCUACCUUGGAGAUGGCAUGGAAUCUUGUACAUGAAAGCCCUCCUUUAUAAAGUCUAUGUAUAUAUCAGUCAGUAUUGCUAGUCCCCGAUCAUCUGCUUUAUUGUAAUUGGCCUUCCUUUCCCUGCUUCGUUUGUGGUUAUAUCUUUCCCUUUAUUAUGAACCACCAGAGUUGGAAAGAAUGGCAUCUAGAUUGCCUAUGGAGUCAGGAAACUUUUCUCUAGGUACAAAAAGCUCUGUUUUUGAGAUAGGUUACAGUGGUCAUUUGAUGGGUCAUUAAUAAUCUUUGGGCUUGGUGAAAUCGACAGAGAAGGCUAUAAGUCACUCCACAGGGUUGCAGUGGGACAGCUAGGCUCAUAGGACCUGAUGUAUGAACUACUCCAUGUGAUUAACUUUGACAGGUAACUUCAGGCCAGCUGGCAAGCUGAAGAGCAUUUUAAGUACAAAUAAUAGUUCUAGGUAUGCCGUGAGUGAUAGAAUAAUGGUUGUGUGGAACAGAGUCCUUUAAUCUUCCCCUGUGUAAAGAAAUCUGGUUUCCCUUUAAGGCCAGGAUAUCGCAACAAAAUCAUCUAACAAGAUAUCUCACAUCUUCAUUUUAUCAAGCCUAUAUCAAAUAGAGAACUGACCCCCAGGGCCAGGCUCAUUCAUCUCAGGCUGCAAAGGGCCUAGCAUGGUGCCUCACAGCAAUUUAGUAAUAACAACAAUAGUAUCAGUUAUGAUGAUGGAUACAAUUGCACCAUAUUCAUCCCAAUGGCUACAGAUUUACGAAGUACUCAGUCAUCCACUGAGAUAGGUCUUAUUGUCCCACUUAAUAGAUGAUGAAACUGAGGCUCAGAAUAGUGAAGCAAGUUCCCAGUUAUAUACACACCAAUGAGUGGAUGCCUGAUCUUAGAAUUCCUGGCCAGAGUUCUUUCUAAUAAACAUUUCUAAAGUUGAAUGGAGUAGGACAAAGAGUUUUCAGAUGACAUAAUCUCUCAAUGAGUAUUUUUUUUCUCAUUGGUUGAUUCUGGAGAUCCUCAACUUCCUGAGGAUGAGAGAGGCCCUUUAGGGAAGAUAUCAUAAUCUGUUUUCAGGGCCAUUUUGUAAUAAGAUGUGCUCUCUUCUUUUUCUUAAUGGUACUGCAAAUGUCAAAGCUAUUGAUGUGAUUUCACCUACUAUUGUCUUCUUUUGGUGGUCUGAAAUAAUUAAUCAUUAUUGCUCUUACCCUAAUGUGGUCUUCAAGAUCGAGAAAUGUUUCACUCUUGAGAACACAUUGAAAUCCAAUGAAAAACAUGGACAUCCUGGGCAGAGAGUCAUCCUAUAUUGAUGACUAUAAGCAGAUGCUAACCCUGCAUAAUGUUGUUGAGUUUGGCAUGGGGACCUAAGCAAAGGAAAUUAAACUCUGGAAAGAGUUUGCAAGCAUUAAAAAAUGGCACUUUCCUUUGCACAUCCACCAUGGCUUCAUGAGCUGCACCUCCUCUCCCUGCUUUGGCAAAGCAAAGCUCUACAAAGAAACUGGACACCAGGGACCUUAUUAUCUAUGUUAGCAUAAAAUUUGGUAACAUUGACCUCUUAGGGUUAGCAUGGAAAAUGCUAGCUUUUCACUCUAGGAGCUUAAUUCCUCUUUCCCUGGUUUUUGUCAUAUUUGCAAAUUUCAUUUGCAUCUUCCUUUCCCAUGGUUUUCCAAAGUCCAGACUGAGACUGGAGCUGUUGUUUCCAUUCAGGUGAAAAGUACAACCACAACUGACCAUCUGCACUGGCAUACAGUCAGGCGAUUGGCCAAGGAAACAAUUUGGAGAUUCCAAUCUGAUCCUCUCCCAUGUGAUCCCUUGUACCCAUUCUCUUUCUGUACCACACACAAUAAACUUGGAGAAUUGCCUUAAGGCCAAAAUUGCACAGCACUAUCAAAAGAGCUACCAGAGAAAUCUCAUUUCAAUGCACUUAGCUUUAGUUUCAUUAUGCAACACUUAUUUCCUGAGUUUAAGCAUAAACCCAAGAUGGUCACCAUUAUGGCAAUUUUUCCAUUACCUUAUUACUACCUGUUAGUAUUCAGAUAUUUAAAAAUAUACCAAAGACCAAUUUUUAAAUAUCCUUCUCAUGGCAGACACUUUGCCUAUGAGAAAUCUGAAACGCAUUUGAGUUUAUACUUCUGUCUAAUUUAAAUAUUUUAUUCUCUAUUGAAAUGUCAUCUGUAUUUAAAAAUCUUCCCCAGGAAUUCUGAUGCACAUCCAGGUUUAGGAACCUUUUAUUUUUAUCCUUUCUGAUAAUCAACACAUGCAAUAUGGCAUUGGUGUGAUGGUAAUAGUUAUAUAGCAGAGUGUUUUCCAGAAUAUUAAAGAGACUAAUUUACAAAAAUCAUUCAGGUGUGUAUCACACCAGCAGUAUUCACCAUGUUGCCAAGAAGUCAUCCUGAGCUGUCUGCUAGCACAGUGAGAAGCUAUUUCAAGGUCUCUUCUCAAGAGACUCCCAGGCUGGUAGUGCAAACUAAAUCAAGAUGAAGCUAAUUGCUGAGCUCUAUUACUGGAGCGGAAAAUAUUGCACCAUCUUUGUUUAAGACUGAAUCUCCAUGACAACGCCAGUUAAGAGGCUGGGCUAAUAUUCUUCCUUUCCUUACUUAUAGAGCCACAAGUCAUAGCCUUUUGUGGGCAAAAUGAGUUGAUACAUCCUUAGGCGACCAUUUCAAGCUCCUUGGAAGGGCAACUCUGAAUUUGUUUAUCCAGGAAAUCCUCAAAGGGAUUACUGUUUUCAAACUUCUGUUGAUGAUUUUCAUGCUUUCCUGCCCAAUGAGGUACUGAGGACUGUCAGAAUAACCAUUGCUCCAAAUACCACUGCUAUUAAAAAUUCACUGUGAUUUUAGAAAGAGGCAAACUUGUGCACAGGUUAAGACGGAGGGUUAACCUGUGCACCAGGUCUUAGCACUUAGUCCUGGGUGCUAAGCCCUGCUUUGCCCUGUUCUCUAUUGUGAUGUGAGCACACAACUUAUUAUCUAUGCUUAUUUUUUUCUCUUCUUCCAGAUGAGUGUAAUAUUUGUAACUACCUUAUAGGGUUGUGUACAUUAAUUAGUGCAUGUAAUUAUUUAAAGCAAUGCUUGUUAUGUAAUAUAAUGGUCAAUAAUUUGUUGAUACCCUUAUUAUGAUUUGGGGUUAGUAGAUGCAAACUAUGACAUUUAGAAUGGAUAAACAAUGAGGUCCUACUGUACAGCACAGGGAACUAUGUCCAGUCUCUUGGGAUAGACCAUGAUGGAAAACAGUAUAAGAAAUGUGUGUGUAUGUGUGUGUGUGCAUGUACACACACACACACACACACACACACACACACAUAUAUAUAUGAUUGGGUCACUUUGCUAUACAGUAGCAACUGAUACAAUAUUAUAAAUCAACUGUACUAAAAUAAUUAAUUCAUUAGAAUUAAAUACAAUUUAAAAAAAUUGUUCCUCAGUUGCACUGGCCAUAUUCCGCAUGCAUACAUAAGCUUAUGACUACUCUAUUGGACAGAGAGAAUAGAGAAUAUGGAUAGCAUCUCAAAAAAUUCUACUGGGUGGCUGAGCCAUAACCUAGAGAAAAGAAAAGGAGGACUAGAACUUCCUUUAGAGAGGAGAUAUGUUUUAUUCUCAGCAAUCUGCUGAUUGUGAAAAUAUUCUACAGACUCUCUGGGAACACUGAGCCCCAUUUCUUUUGUAGCGCCUAGUAAAUUGUGCUUUGCAUUGUGGACUGUGCGAUUAAUAUUAACAAAACAAAAAUAUUUUCCAGAAACAUUUCUCUCUCAGUUGGGAGAAAAGAUUCCCCAUUCCUUUUAUACACUAUUUAAAUUUCUCUGUAUUUAAGGAUUCUGUAGCUGCACAUAAUUCUUGAAAAGCAGGCAAGGUGGCUACUUUGUAGUCAUCAUGUGUCUCAUAGUAGAACUCUGCAGCUAGUGGAGAGAAUGAUUUCCUUAAUCACCACCCAAAGGGAAGCCAUGUGCAUGUUUACUUGUCAUGCCAAUGUUGCUCAGCAAUGGAAAAUACAAGUUAAAUAUUCAAAGAUAGAAACCCAGGCAGCAUGUUUCUACCACUUUUCACCUGUGUGUGGUCAAUUCUGGAAUUCUAACAUUGGCUGGAAAAUGCUAGGUCCAUUUCCUUGGAAUCAAAUUAACAUGUAUUAUUUGCCCUAUGACUGGUCAGUCACUGACAUCACUGCCUGGCAGGUACUUUGAGAAUGUUUGAGAAUGAGGGGGAAAUACAAGUACAAAGCAAAAGAUGUCUACAGUUCCAACAAGCCAAAGUUUUAUGUGAAUCUUAAACAGUUAGUGAUGUUAUGCAUUGUCUAGAGGGGUCUCUGCUAUCUGUUUAUAUUUUGGGAGAAUCUGUAAUGUAAAACUAGCAUGGGAAACUAAGAACUAGAGCCAGUAUAGUAUACUUGAUCCCAUACCAGCUCUAUCAAGCUGGUUGAGUACACUACAGCCCAGGAGGGACCUCUCCCAGCAUCUCUGAUGCUCAUUCCAAAACUCAAGCUGUAAAAGGGCUGCAUGGAAUUCCUGGCAGCCUGGUGGUUACAGAUUUGGCAUUGUCAUUGCCAUGGUGCAGGUUCAUUCCCUGGCCCAAGAAAUUCCACAUGCCGUGGGUGUGGACAUUUUUUAAAAAAACAAGGGUGCAUAAGGGAUUGAGAAAGCAAAAUUUUGAGCUUUCAUUCAAGUUAUACAUUUUUUAAGUAUGAAAUUGAUUAUAUUGAUUAUAUUGAUCACUACAUACUUUAAAUAAAAGUAUUAAUGAGUGCAGAAAGGAUUUUUAAAAAUCACACACUUAAGAAGUUCCCU